AUUUGCUGCCGGGACAGCAAGUCAGUGUUUCUUUGCCUGUGUGAUCACAUAUAUAAGGCUUCAUGGAGCAGGUUUUGGUGCUAAAUUCGACUGAGGAAGAUGGAGAAGACUUAGAGUGGUCUCCAAGCUGCAGCCCACUACACAUCCUUUCAAAAUGAGAAGUUAAAGAAAGGGAAGGCAACCAGGCGUUGGAGAGUCACCCCUAAUUUGUGAAAACAUAUGGCUUAUUCCACCCUUCAACACUGAGGAUUCGUUCGAAGCAUGCUUGCCUGCAGUCCUGUGCUCACCAUCUGGAUCCACCUUCUGCAAGUC